UAGGGAAUCUUCCGCAAUGGGCGAAAGCUUGACGGAGCAACGCCGCGUGAGUGAUGAAGGUCUUCGGAUCGUAAAACUCUGUUAUUAGGGAAGAACAAAUGUGUAAGUAACUAUGCACGUCUUGACGGUACCUAAUCAGAAAGCCACGGCUAACUACGUGCCAGCAGCCGCGGUAAUACGUAGGUGGCAAGCGUUAUCCGGCAUUAUUGGGCGUAAAGCGCGCGUAGGCGGUUUUUUAAGUCUGAUGUGAAAGCCCACGGCUCAACCGUGGAGGGUCAUUGGAAACGGGAAAACUUGAGGGCAGAAGAGGAGAGUGGAAUUCCAUGUGUAGCAGUGAAAUGCGCAGAGAUAUGGAGGAACACCAGUGGCGAAGGCGACUUUCUGGUCUGUAACUGACGCUGAUGUGCGAAAGCGUGGGGAUCAAACAGG
rnacentral:rRNA from 1 species